AAAAUUGAUUGGUUCACCCAUAGCGAGGCUCAGCCAUUGCACUGAGGCUGUUGCUGACCCGUGCGAAUUCCCCAAAUGUGGGAAUCUCGAUUGCAUAAUUUCUGGUAGUGGGGGACUGCGUUCGCGCUCUCCCCUG
ensembl:snRNA U1 U1 spliceosomal RNA